CAUCCCGUUUUAGUACCUGCCACUCGUAUCUCGUUGAAUGGGAGGUUAUGCUAAUGGGAUAGAAAAACACUGUCAUGGUCUGAGGGUGUGGUUAAUUUAUUGUGUACCACACUAAAUAAAAUGACUGUACAUGUAAAU